GAUGAACGCUAGCGGCAGGCCUAACACAUGCAAGUCGAGGGAGAAGCCCUUUCGGGGGCAGAAACCGGCGCACGGGUGCGUAACGCGUAUGCAACCUACCUUUCACAGGGGGAUAGCCCGAAGAAAUUUGGAUUAAUACCCCAUAAUAUUAUUGGAUGGCAUCAUUUGAUAAUUAAAACUGCGGUGGUGAAAGAUGGGCAUGCGUCCUAUUAGCUAGUUGGAGUGGUAACGGCACCCCAAGGCUACGAUAGGUAGGGGUCCUGAGAGGGAGAUCCCCCACACUGUGAAGAGGAAAGGGGACAGAACGCCUGGGGGAGGAAGAAGGGAGGAAUAUUGGUAAAUGGUGGAAAACUUAAACCAGCCAGGCGGGGGGAAGAAAAAUUGCUUUAGGGUUUUAAAACUGUUUUUAAAGGGGAAAAAUAAGGUGUAGGUUUACAUUAUUGGCGGAACAAUAUAAAUAAGAACCGCCAAACCCGGUC
rnacentral:rRNA from 1 species